rnacentral:rRNA from 1 species
UCUACGGGUGGCAGCAGUGGGGAAUAUUGGACAAUGGGCGAAAGCCUGAUCCAGCCAUGCCGCGUGUGUGAAGAAGGCCUUCGGGUUGUAAAGCACUUUCAGUGGGGAAGAAAGCCUUGGGGCUAAUACCCUCGAGGAAGGACAUCACCCACAGAAGAAGCACCGGCUAACUCCGUGCCAGCAGCCGCGGUAAUACGGAGGGUGCGAGCGUUAAUCGGAAUUACUGGGCGUAAAGCGCGCGUAGGCGGUCUGAUAAGCCGGUUGUGAAAGCCCCGGGCUCAACCUGGGAACGGCAUCCGGAACUGUCAGGCUAGAGUGCAGGAGAGGAAGGUAGAAUUCCCGGUGUAGCGGUGAAAUGCGUAGAGAUCGGGAGGAAUACCAGUGGCGAAGGCGGCCUUCUGGACUGACACUGACGCUGAGGUGCGAAAGCGUGGGUAGCAAACAGGAGUAGAUACCCUUGUAGUC